rnacentral:rRNA from 1 species
ACAUUUCUUUAAGAAAAAAAUUUAAGGUAGGUUCUGCCCUAUGAUAAUUUAUUUAAAUGGCUGCAGUAUUUUGACUGUGCAAAGGUAGCAUAAUAAUUAGCUUCUUAAUUAGGGGCUUGUAUGAAUGAAUUAAUGAGAAAUUUAUUUUAUUAUUUUUAUUAUUAAAAUUUAAUAUUUAAGUUAAAAAGCUUAAUUUUUUGUUUGGGACGAUAAGACCCUAUAGAACUUAAAUUUACUUAAUUAUUUUUUUUUUAGUGGUUUUUAAAAAAAAUAUUUGUUGAAAAAUUUUUGCUGGGGUGGUGAAUAAAUUUUAACUUUAUUUUUUUAUUUCAUUUUAUUUAUGAUUAUUUUGAUCCAUUAUUGUAUGAUUAAAAGAUAAAGUUACCUUAGGGAUAACAGCGUAAUUUUAGUGGGGAGUUCAUAUUUAUACUAAAGUUUGCGACCUCGAUGUUGAAUUAAGAUAAAAUUAGGGGGUAGGUUUUCUAAGUUUAGGUCUGUUCGACCUUUAAAUUCUUACAUGAUCUG